rnacentral:rRNA from 1 species
CAAUAGCGUAUAUUAAAGUUGUUGCAGUUAAAAAGCUCGUAGUUGGAUUUCUGGUUGAAGCGACCGGUCGGGCGUUGAUUCGUCUGCACUGGAGUCGGUUUUGGCCAUCCUCUAGGAAAGUGCGUCUGGUAUUAAGUUAUCGGGCGUAUGAUCCUGGUCUUUUACUGUGAAAAAAUUAGAGUGUUUAAAGCAGGCCUUCGCCUUGAAUACAUUAGCAUGGAAUAAUAAGAUAGGACUUUGGUCUAUUUUGUUGGUUUGCAGACCGAAGUAAUGAUUAAUAGGGAUAGUUGGGGGUAUUUGUAUUCCGAUGUCAGAGGUGAAAUUCUUAGAUUUUCGGAAGAUAAACUUAUGCGAAAGCAUUUACCAAGGAUGUUUUCAUUAA